UACGGAGGGGGCUAGCGUUGUUCGGAAUUACUGGGCGUAAAGCGCACGUAGGCGGCUUUGCAAGUCAGAGGUGAAAGCCCGGGGCUCAACCCCGGAAUUGCCUUUGAGACUGCAUCGCUAGAAUUGUGGAGAGGUAAGUGGAAUUCCGAGUGUAGAGGUGAAAUUCGUAGAUAUUCGGAAGAACACCAGUGCGAAGGCGACUUACUGGACACAUAUUGACGCUGAGGUGCGAAAGCGUGGGGAGCAAACAGG
rnacentral:rRNA from 1 species